CCCUUAGAUGUUCUGGGCCGCACGCGCGCUACAAUGAUGAAUUCAACGAGUUUAUAACCUUGGUUGAAAAGCCUGGGUAAUCUUUUGAACUUUCGUCGUGAUGGGGCUAGACCCUUGCAAUUAUUGGUCUCCAACGAGGAAUUCCUAGUAAACGCAAGUCAUCAGCUUGCAUUGAUUACGUCCCUGCCCUUUGUACACACCGCCCGUCGCACCUACCGAUUGAAUGGUCCGGUGAAAUCUUCGGAUUGAGACUUUGUUUUCUUCACGGAAAACGCUGUUUUAAAAAGUUGAUUAAACCUUACCAUUUAGAGGAAGGAGAAGUCGUAACA
rnacentral:rRNA from 1 species